AUUACUGUAUAGUUUAUAGAAAAUAUAAAUAAUGCAUUAAACUGAAGGCUAUGUAGUCAAUUAACCACUUUUAAAUAACUAGCAGCAUGGGCUGAAGGGAGUAUAUAUAUCAUAGAUUAACACAACUGUGAAAAAACUUUCAGAGGCAAAUGUGGAUUUUGCUUAAUCUAUACCUUAAUAUUUCCAGAUGAUAGCCUAGAUUUAGCAGAAGAUUAGGACUGCUCAACUUCAACUCACAUGAUUGUGAGUUAAGCAUCAAUUAACCUGAAUGCCUUGUGAAGCACUUUAAUUCUUGCUGAAAACAGCAUUAUGGGAGUAUGUUUUGGGACUUGUCCUUGUUCUUCAUAGCGAAUAAUCCAAUGUAGUGUUUCAAUGUCUGAUCUAGCUCUAGAAAUUAGGCUUAUUUAG